ensembl:misc_RNA Metazoa_SRP Metazoan signal recognition particle RNA
GCUGGGCGUGGUGGCGGGUGCCUGUAAUCCCAGCUACUCAGGAGGCUGAGGCAGGAGAAUCACUUGAACCCAGGAGGCAGAGGUUGCAGUAAGCUGAGAUUGUGUCACUGCACUCCAGCCUGGGUGACAGAGUGAGACUCUGUCUCAA